AGAGUUUGAUCCUGGCUCAGGACGAACGCUGGCGGCGUGCUUAACACAUGCAAGUCGAGCGGAAAGGCCCUUUCGGGGGUACUCGAGCGGCGAACGGGUGAGUAACACGUGAGUAAUCUGCCCUUGGCUUUGGGAUAAGCCCCGGAAACGGGGUCUAAUACCGGAUACGACCAAUCUCUGCAUGGAGUGUUGGUGGAAAGUUUUUUCGGCCAGGGAUGUGCUCGCGGCCUAUCAGCUUGUUGGUGGGGUAAUGGCCUACCAAGGCGACGACGGGUAGCCGGCCUGAGAGGGCGACCGGCCACACUGGGACUGAGACACGGCCCAGACUCCUACGGGAGGCAGCAGUGGGGAAUCUUGCGCAAUGGGCGAAAGCCUGACGCAGCGACGCCGCGUGGGGGAUGACGGCCUUCGGGUUGUAAACCUCUUUCAGCAGGGAAGAAGCCGUAAGGUGACGGUACCUGCAGAAGAAGCACCGGCUAACUACGUGCCAGCAGCCGCGGUAAUACGUAGGGUGCAAGCGUUGUCCGGAAUUAUUGGGCGUAAAGAGCUCGUAGGUGGCGGGUCACGUCGGGUGUGAAAGCCCGGGGCUUAACCCCGGGUCUGCAUUCGAUACGGGCCUGCUAGGGUCCGGCAGGGGAGACUGGAAUUCCUGGUGUAGCGGUGAAAUGCGCAGAUAUCAGAGGAACACCAAUGGCGAAAGGCAGCUCUCUGGUACGUGACUGACACUGAGACGCGAAAGCGUGGGGAGCGAACAGGAUUAGAUACUCUGGUAGUCCAC
rnacentral:rRNA from 1 species